rnacentral:rRNA from 1 species
AUUGAACGCUGGCGGCAGGCCUAACACAUGCAAGUCGAGCGGAUGAAGGGAGCUUGCUCCUGGAUUCAGCGGCGGACGGGUGAGUAAUGCCUAGGAAUCUGCCUGGUAGUGGGGGAUAACGUCCGGAAACGGGCGCUAAUCCCGCAUACGUCCUGAGGGAGAAGGUGGGGGAUCUUCGGACCUCACGCUAUCAGAUGAGCCUAGGUCGGAUUAGCUAGUUGGUGGGGUAAAGGCCUACCAAGGCGACGAUCCGUAACUGGUCUGAGAGGAUGAUCAGUCACACUGGAACUGAGACACGGUCCAGACUCCUACGGGAGGCAGCAGUGGGGAAUAUUGGACAAUGGGCGAAAGCCUGAUCCAGCCAUGCCGCGUGUGUGAAGAAGGUCUUCGGAUUGUAAAGCACUUUAAGUUGGGAGGAAGGGAAGUAAGUUAAUACCUUGCUGUUUUGACGUUACCAACAGAAUAAGCACCGGCUAACUUCGUG